AUUGAACGCUGGCGGCAGGCCUAACACAUGCAAGUCGAGCGGAUGAAGGGAGCUUGCUCCUGGAUUCAGCGGCGGACGGGUGAGUAAUGCCUAGGAAUCUGCCUUGUCGUGGGGGAUAACGUCCGGAAACGGGCGCUAAUACCGCAUACGUCCUGAGCGAGAACGUGGGGGAUCGUCGGACCUCACGCUAUCAGAUGAGCCUAGGUCGGAUUAGCUAGUUGGUGGGGUGAAGGCCUACCAAGGCGACGAUCCGUAACUGGUCUGAGAGGAUGAUCAGUCACACUGGAACUGAGACACGGUCCGGACCCCUACGGGAGGCAGCAGUGGGGAAUAUUGGACAAUGGGCGGGAGCCUGGUCCAACCAUGCCGCGUGUGUUAAGAAGGUCUUCGGAUUGUAAAGCUCUUCUUGUUGGGAGGAAGGGCAGUAAGUUCAUCCCGUGCGGUUUUGACGUUACCAACAGAAUAAGCACCGGCUAACUCCGUG
rnacentral:rRNA from 1 species